rnacentral:misc_RNA from 1 species
AAUCUAGAAAAGAGUGUUCUCG